rnacentral:tRNA from 1 species
GGGCCCGUAGUGUAGCUUGGAUAUCACAAAGGCCUCCGGAGCCUUGAACCCGGGUUCGAAUCCCGGCGGGUCCG